GAAGAUCAAUACUUUCUUAACAUUUUGAACGCCCCGUCACCCAGAUAUGGGAGACACUUUUCUCGUUCAAUUUGAAUAGAAUUUUCAAACGGAAUUUGAUAGAAUAGGCACUUAAAUGUAUGUAUGGGAUAUGUAGAAUAAUCAAAAAAUCAAAAACAUAAAAAUAUAGUUUUUAUACUAUACUUUCAAACGGUUUCAUUUGGUAUGACCUUGUAUGUAUGCAUGUGUAUCUGUAGAGUUGUGCCACAUCGCUCGCUUUCAGAUUUACUAUUACGCCGUCCGGUGAACAUUUUGAGGAUGAAAAAAACACACAUGUGCAUCUUUUUGGACUUUUUGGAAUAAACAGAGGCCUAUCCGAGUUGCGCAAUUAUUAUUCUCAUUCUCAGAAAAAAAACUUGCAACUUGCUUCUUUCAGCUUUUUAUCUACCAAGCGCGAAGAACAAUGAAAACGAAUCACGUGAAAAGUUGGAUUUGCCAAAUGUUAUAUACACUCGACAGAAAAAUUAGGGGAACAGAAUGCGAAGUCGGCAAUUUUAAGGGACUUUUGACAUGCUGUAUCUUCCUGAAAAAUCAACGCAUAUCGAUGGAAGGCGCAUCAUUUUGAAGCUACAACUUUCAGACGUUUUCAAUCACAUCGAACCCACCGUGAUCCGUCAAUUGUCAAAAUAUAAAUCAAAACAAACUCGAAUGCCGAUGAUAUGUAGCCGGAUGUAAUUUUCCGUCAGUGAAGUUUAAGCUUUUAUUGUUGAACGCGGUUUCAAAUUCUUUUCCGUUGCUCUACAGUUUGUACCCUGGAUUGUUAGCAAUCACUGGGAUUCGAGUUGAGAUGCCUCGCAGAUACCAAAGGAAAACGAAUCGAGGGAGUUGGUCCCAGGAGAACCUCACCCUGGCAAAAGAGGCUAUUGCUAAUGGAGUUUACAUCAAACGUGCUUCGACGACUUUUGGAAUACCCAGGUCUACAUUACAUGAUCACGUUUUUCAGAAGGUGGUAAGCUCGAAACUAGGACCAAGAAAGACCGUAUUUGCGGUGGAGCAGGAAGCGGAGAUCAUGCAGCACCUACUUGACCUAGAAAACCGAUUUUAUGGCAUCACGAAAAUUGACGUACGGAAGCUAGCUUUCGAGCUUGCUGAAAGAAAUGGAAUCGCUUGUUCGUAAGUUGUUUUUUAUGAUGUAAGUUGUAUUUA